AUUGAACGCUGGCGGCAUGCUUUACACAUGCAAGUCGAACGGUAACAGGCCUUCGGGUGCUGACGAGUGGCGAACGGGUGAGUAAUGCAUCGGAACGUGCCCAGAGGUGGGGGAUAACGCAGCGAAAGCUGUGCUAAUACCGCAUGUGAUCUGAGGAUGAAAGCGGGGGACCAAGCAGCAAUGUUUGGCCUCGCGCCUCUGGAGCGGCCGAUGUCAGAUUAGGUAGUUGGUGGGGUAAAGGCCUACCAAGCCGACGAUCUGUAGCUGGUCUGAGAGGACGACCAGCCGCACUGGGACUGAGACACGGCCCAGACUCCUACGGGAGGCAGCAGUGGGGAAUUUUGGACAAUGGGCGCAAGCCUGAUCCAGCAAUGCCGCGUGCGGGAAGAAGGCCUUCGGGUUGUAAACCGCUUUUGUACGGAACGAGAAGGCUCUGGCUAAUACCUGGGGCUGAUGACGGUACCGGAAGAAUAAGCACCGGCUAACUACGUG
rnacentral:rRNA from 1 species